CCUACGGGAGGCAGCAGUAGGGAAUCUUCCACAAUGGACGAAAGUCUGAUGGAGCAACGCCGCGUGAGUGAUGAAGGUUUUCGGAUCGUAAAACUCUGUUGUAAGGGAAGAACAAGUACGAGAGGGAAUGCUCGUACCUUGACGGUACCUUGCGAGAAAGCCACGGCUAACUACGUGCCAGCAGCCGCGGUAAUACGUAGGUGGCAAGCGUUGUCCGGAAUUAUUGGGCGUAAAGCGCGCGCAGGCGGCCUUUUAAGUCUGAUGUGAAAGCCCCCGGCUCAACCGGGGAGGGUCAUUGGAAACUGGAAGGCUUGAGUACAGAAGAGAAGAGUGGAAUUCCAUGUGUAGCGGUGAAAUGCGUAGAGAUGUGGAGGAACACCAGUGGCGAAGGCGACUCUUUGGUCUGUAACUGACGCUGAGGCGCGAAAGCGUGGGGAGCAAACAGGGAUUAGGACUACCCGUGGUACGUCCACGACCGUAAACGAUAGAGUCGACGUAGGUUGGGUUUCGGGGGGUUUCCCCCUCCCGUACGUAGGUCGUCGUAAGGAACGUACCGUAACGCUAAGUUAACGCCACCGUCCCGCGGUAGGGGUACGGUACCGGCCGACGAACGGUCGUAACGAACCUACGAAAGUAGUAAGUUCCGGACGGUCGUAGAGACGUACGACCGACGGACGACCGACGGAGGGAGGAGG
rnacentral:rRNA from 1 species